CCUGCCCACCCCAGGGAGGCCCCCCGUAAAGCAUCACGGGGGAGGGCGACGCCCCGUUGCCCCUUCACGGCCCCUGCCCCGUUGCCCCUUCACGGCCCCUGCCCCGCGCGGCGCGUCGUGCUCCUCUAACCCCGAAGGCGGCGGUCCCCGAAAUCCCGGCCCCGCCUUCCCGAAGCCCCUCUUUUGCCCCUCCUGCACUCGGUGGCCUUUAUUCAGCCCUCACUGUGCGCACAGCACUGGGCAAAAGGAGGAGGAGUUGUCCAAGAAGGGACUGAAAUGAGCCACCCACCCGCCCCCAGGUCGAAUCCCCCUUCCCAGGAGGAAAGGAAAAGGGUGAAACUUCAGCUUCAUUCCAUAGGAGGGUGAAGUGGCAGAGGGAGACUCCAAGGAGGCGCACACAUACAGACGCACGCUCUGGCAAUAGGUCAUCCAGUGGCAAUCUCCGACUCCGCAGCUGAAGUGGCAGUUGGGCCACAGGUCUCGGUCACCCUCCCUCCCCCCAAGAAAGCACCUGCCUGGAGCUUCUCGCACGUGGAAACUAGGAAUGACCCCAAAUACUUGUCUCUUCCCUCCUCUUGGCCCUUCUCCUCCUCUCCAAAUCAACAGGCGAGCUCAGCCCAGGAAAGGCCGAACUUGCAGAAAGGGCCGGGAAAGAGAAAGUGGAUCGAAAAGAAAAGCUGAUUGAUUUCCUCAACCGAAUCCCUCCAUUAUUGGCUCCAGAGGAGAGAACCCUCGUCUCCUAAGGUUUAGCCUCAGAUGGGAUCCAAAGCAAACAGGGACUGCACUUCAAGAUUUUCUCAAGCAAUGAGGAAAGACAGAGUACAGCAUCUUGAAACUGUCUGUCUACUGUACAAGCUAUAAUUCAGUUGAGAAGAACUUCAAAUCUGAGCAGGAAAUGAAGACCCAGAAACAACUGUAAAUAACCUCCAUCCCUUCAUGAUCCCAAAAAACCAAGACAAACAGGAGAAACAACUAGGUGGAUAAAAAGUCAAGACUUAUUUGUUGCUCGUUAAAAGGGGACAUGUUUUUCUGGCCUACCUCCAAUUUACCAAAAGAUAAUCUGCCAACCCGCUGCCCUGCGACAUCUCCACGGCUUCGGUUGAAUCUUGUGCAUUUUUGAAUAAUAGCUGUAUUGUUUCCUGUGAUGCGGGACCUGAGAUCUGAAGUGCCGGACAGACCGACGGCAUUCACGUCUGAGGAAACUGUCAACCUCCAAGGACGUUGAUAACAAGUGAGCCCACGCCAUCAAGGAAACUUCUCAAAGUCAGGGUGGGAAGAACUUGGAGGAUACCGCUGGACAGCCAACUCAGGGCAGCCCAUGUAGAAGAUUUCCACCUGCGAGAACAAGAGUCUUCCUUUGAAAGCUGGCUCAGCUAAACUCCAAGGUCUGCAGGAAAUGCAGCAAGCAGGAACAGCUCAAACUACUCUCUCCACCCACAGAACUGCUGACAUCCAGGAGGUUCCCUGCUUCCAGCCCAAUGUCUGCUCUGAACAAGAAGUGGAGACCAUCCCUUCCCCAGAGGUGAAAGGCACGAAAUGGGAGCAGAGCCGCUUAGCCAUUCGCUCUAUAAUGGAGGAGAAAGGAGGAGACGGCUUAAAUUUACCUUCCAGUCCAAUGAAGGCUCCUUCACGAACACAUCCAUGGUGUUGAGGAGGAGGUCCGGGUCUGUGCGGAAAGCGUGGAGGGCGUGCACCAUCACACUGUACACGAGCCCCGAUUCUUUCAUCGGUGACAUCAGAUUAAUGAGUUGGCGAGUCAGACGGAAAGGCAUCAACUCGGGGACCGGCAGAAACUGAAAGAGGGAAGAGCACCCGGGCCCAGCGCAGUGGAGAAUAUCAACUAAAAGUCAGGAGGAAGAAAGGAUUUGGGGGCAAAACGAUUUUAAUUUCUUCUUUACCACCUAUCUUCAGAUUGGAAUAUUUUGGUCUGAGUUCCAGGUGAACUGAGAGAAACUACAGUUGAGGGUCAGUUGGAGCUGAACCACAGGUGUCACUGUUCCCUGGACUGCUGCCUCAGCUCUGAACCUACUGAACUUUGACCCAGUUGGAAAGAUCCUGCCAAUGGAGCCGAAUCAAAUACUCCCCACAGAGGCUGCAAGUGGACACCAGACACAUUCUUGGACUGUGAGAAAAAGCUUUUAUCAGGAAGUUGCAUCUCUUCAAUUCUCCGGCCCGGUUCUGCAUGGAACAGAAGAGUUUGCCUCCUGGGCCAGGAACUCGGGGAGCAUCUGCUGGUUAUGGAAUUUAUCCUUUGAGUCAAACAAAGACUCAUCGGUCAAUAAUGCCAGAGCCAAAAGUAAAACAUGAAAGUAAAAUUAGGCAAACGUCCAAGCAGAGGACAGUCUGUUUGGGAUAGCGUGACCAUUUGUAAAGCUAGCACAUUACCCACCAAGACUAGCUGUAUUCGGUUCUAAAUUUGUCUUUUCUAUUUUUUUUAACCAGUGGCCCCCAAAUCCUCAAGAAUUGUAAUGCUAACUCCCAUCCAAACACAGAUUCAGAGUGAUAACCUGUAAAAUAUAGAAAUUCUUGUUUUUUUUUCCCUGACUCACCUGAGGU